GAUGAAAUAAAGUUUAGGCUUAAACUCUAGAUAAUUAAAGAAUCUGUAUUCCUUGUGUCACUCUUGUAAAGAUUGCCAUUGGUCAGGAUAUUCUGAUUCUGUGGUUGCCAUUGGUCUGGAUAUUCUGAUUCUGUGGUUGCCAUUGGUCUGGAUAUUCUGAUAUUGUGGUUGCCAUUGGUCUGGAUAUUCUGAUUCUGUGGUUGCCAUUGGUCUAGAUAUUUUGAUUCUGUGUGGUAAAUGAUCCGUGUGAUCACCGGCAUCAAUACAAUCUAAUGCAAUACCUCGCUUUAGGUGUGAUUCUAUCAGAUUGCAUGUUGGUACAAGUACAUGUAGUACAUAUAUGUCCUUAGUGUAGUCCUAGUGUAGAUCAGCAGUAAAAGCAAUGCAUUUAAUCAUAUUACGUGGCUAAGCACACACGUACCAAAAAGCUACAUACAUGUAUUAAAUGUAGUUACACCAUAUUAUCACUGAUUUGAUGGUGAGAGACUCAGAGAUAAGCGAUGUAUGUUAUUGAUGAUCAGGGCAUAUUAAGUUUGGAUAUGUUUUAUAAUGUCAAUGAAUCACCUCAAGGCAGAUGAUUCCAAUAAAGCUUGGCUUAAUUAC
rnacentral:misc_RNA from 1 species